rnacentral:rRNA from 1 species
AGUGAACGCUGGCGGCGUGCCUAAUACAUGCAAGUCGAACGGAGUGGCGCACGGGUGAGUAAUGUAUAGCUAAUCUGCCCUACACUAGAGGACAACAGUUGGGAAAGACUGCUAAUACUCUAUAGUGUAGGAUGAGGCUAUAUUGUAUCAUCUAGUUGGUGAGGUAAUGGCUCACCAAGGCUAUGACGCGUAACUGGUCUAAGAGGACGAUCAGUCACACUGGAAGUGAGGCACGGUCCGGAAUCCUUCGGGAGGCAGCAGUAGGGAAUUUUGCCCAAUGUGGGAGACCCUGAAGCAGCAUAGCGGCGUGAAGGAUUACAAUUUGGGGAGCGUAAACUCCUUUUGUUAGGGAAGCGGUACCUAACGAAUAAGCACCGGCUAACUCCGUGCCAGCAGCCGCGGUAAUAC